UAAGGAAUAUUGGUCAAUGGACGCAAGUCUGAACCAGCCAUGCCGCGUGAAGGAUUAAGGUCCUCUGGAUUGUAAACUUCUUUUAUCUGGGACGAAAAAAGGCGAUUCUUCGUCACUUGACGGUACCAGAUGAAUAAGCACCGGCUAACUCCGUGCCAGCAGCCGCGGUAAUACGGAGGGUGCAAGCGUUAUCCGGAUUCACUGGGUUUAAAGGGUGCGUAGGCGGGCAGGUAAGUCAGUGGUGAAAUCCUGGAGCUUAACUCCAGAACUGCCAUUGAUACUAUCUGUCUUGAAUAUUGUGGAGGUAAGCGGAAUAUGUCAUGUAGCGGUGAAAUGCUUAGAUAUGACAUAGAACACCUAUUGCGAAGGCAGCUUACUACGCAUAUAUUGACGCUGAGGCACGAAAGCGUGGGGAUCAAACAGGAUUAGAUACCCUGGUAGUCCACGCCCUAAACGAUGGAUACUCGACAUACACGAUACACUGUGUGUGUCUGAGCGAAAGCAUUAAGUAUCCCCACCUGGGGAAGUACGACCGCAAGGUUGAAACUCAAAUGAAUUGACGGGGUCAUAGCUGUUUCCUG
rnacentral:rRNA from 1 species